rnacentral:rRNA from 1 species
CGGGACGGGUGAGUAAUGUCUGGGAAACUGCCUGAUGGAGGGGGAUAACUACUGGAAACGGUAGCUAAUACCGCAUAACGUCGCAAGACCAAAGAGGGGGACCUUAGGGCCUCUUGCCAUCGGAUGUGCCAGAUGGGAUCAGCUAGUAGGUGGGGUAACGGCUCACCUAGGCGACGAUCCCUAGCUGGUCUGAGAGGAUGACCAGCCACACUGGAACUGAGACACGGUCCAG